CACGUAGGGCGCAAGCGUUGUCCGGAAUUACUGGGCGUAAAGCGUGCGCAGGCGGUUCUCCAAGUCCGUUGUGAAAGCCCCGGGCUCAACCUGGGAAUGGCAGUGGAAACUAGGGGACUUGAAUCUGGCAGAGGGGGGUGGAAUUCCACGUGUAGCAGUGAAAUGCGUAGAGAUGUGGAGGAACACCGAUGGCGAAGGCAGCCCCCUGGGCUGAGAUUGACGCUCAGGCACGAAAGCGUGGGGAGCAAACAGG
rnacentral:rRNA from 1 species